AGCAGCCGCGGUAAUUCCAGCUCCAAUAGCGUAUAUUAAAGUUGUUGCAGUUAAAAAGCUCGUAGUUGAAUUUCGGGCUCAAUAUGUCGGUCGUGCCUUCGGUACGUACUGGUAUCAUUGGUCUCUCCUUUCUGACGAACCAUGAUGUCAUUAAUUUGGUGUUAUGGGGAGUUAGGACUGUUACUUUGAAAAAAUUAGAGUGUUUAAAGCAGGCUUUAGCUUGAAUACAUUAGCAUGGAAUAAUGAAAUAGGACGUUCGAACCUAUUUUGUUGGUUUCUAGGAUCAACGUAAUGAUUAAUAGGGAUAGUUGGGGGCAUUAGUAUUCAAUUGUCAGAGGUGAAAUUCUUGGAUUUAUUGAAGACUAACUACUGCGAAAGCAUUUGCCAAGGAUGUUUUCAUUAAUCAAGAACGAAAGUUAGGGGAUCGAAGACGAUCAGAUACCGUCGUAGUCUUAACCAUAAACUAUGCCGACUAGGGAUCGGAUGAUGUUAAUUUUUUAAUGACUCA
rnacentral:rRNA from 1 species